rnacentral:rRNA from 1 species
GUAACAAGGUUUCCGUAGGUGAACCUGCGGAAGGAUCAUUCAUAAUAAGUGUUUUAUGGCACUUUUUAAAUCCAUAUCCACCUUGUGUGCAAUGUCAGUCGAUCUUCUUCAUGGAGAUCGACCAAACAUCAACCUUUAUCUUUUAACUCUUUGUCUGAAAAAUAUUAUGAAUAAACAAUUCAAAAUACAACUUUCAACAACGGAUCUCUUGGCUCUCGCAUCGAUGAAGAACGCAGCGAAAUGCGAUACGUAAUGUGAAUUGCAGAAUUCAGUGAAUCAUCGAAUCUUUGAACGCAUAUUGCGCUCUUUGGUAUUCCGAAGAGCAUGCUUGUUUGAGUAUCAGUAAACACCUCAAAGCUUUUGGAUUUUUUAAUCGAAAAGCUUUGGACUUGAGCAAUCCCAACACCAAUCUUUUUGAGAUCGGUGGCGGGUUGCUUGAAAUGCAGGUGCAGCUGGACAUUCUCCUGAGCUAAAAGCAUAUUCAUUUAGUCCCGUCAAACGGAUUAUUACUUUUGCUGCAGCUAACAUAAAGGGAGUUUGACCGUAUUGGCUGACUGAUGCAGGAUUUCACAAGGGUCGGCAACGAUUCUUGUUAAACUCGAUCUCAAAUCAAGUAAGACUACCCGCUGAACUUAAGCAUAUCAA